rnacentral:rRNA from 1 species
AUACGGAGGGGGCUAGCGUUGUUCGGAAUUACUGGGCGUAAAGCGCACGUAGGCGGAUUAAAAAGUUAGAGGUGAAAUCCCAGGGCUUAACCCUGGAACUGCCUUUAAAACUAGUAGUCUAGAGUUCGAGAGAGGUGAGUGGAAUUCCAAGUGUAGAGGUGAAAUUCGUAGAUAUUUGGAGGAACACCAGUGGCAAAGGCGGCUCACUGGCUCGAUACUGACGCUGAGGUGCGAAAGCGUGGGGAGCGAACAGGAUUAGAAACCCCGGUAGUCC